GUAAAAAAGUAGGUUCGAUUCCUGCCGGAUGCACUGCCUCUUAAAGACAGAAACAGAGGAGGGAAAGAAGGUAGUAUAGGGAACUUGCUUUUGGAUUCUUAUCGAAAGUGAAUCCCUCUAACACUUCUGUUAGUGUUUUAUGAUAAAAUCUUUGCAGCCUAGACAUAACAAGUGUGAAAAUCCUUAGUCACUAGGCAAGAAAGCUCGAUGGGAACAAAAAGGAUACAAUUAGUUUAGAAUAAAAAACAUGUACAAUUUCAAAGGAAAGAAGGAAUGGCA
rnacentral:lncRNA from 1 species